rnacentral:rRNA from 1 species
GACGAACGCUGGCGGCGUGCUUAACACAUGCAAGUCGAACGGAAAGGCCCUGCUUUUGUGGGGUGCUCGAGUGGCGAACGGGGGAGUAACACGUGAGUAACCUGCCCUUGACUUUGGGAUAACUUCAGGAAACUGGGGCUAAUACCGGAUAGGAGCUCCUGCUGCAUGGUGGGGGUUGGAAAGUUUCGGCGGUUGGGGAUGGACUCGCGGCUUAUCAGCUUGUUGGUGGGGUAGUGGCUUACCAAGGCUUUGACGGGUAGCCGGCCUGAGAGGGUGACCGGCCACAUUGGGACUGAGAUACGGCUCAGACUCCUACGGGAGGCAGCAGUGGGGAAUAUUGCACAAUGGGCGGAAGCCUGAUGCAGCAACGCCGCGUGCGGGAUGACGGCCUUCGGGUUGUAAACCGCUUUCGCCUGUGACGAAGCGUGAGUGACGGUAAUGGGUAAAGAAGCACCGGCUAACUACGUG